UGAACAUAGCCGAGUCCUCAAACACAAGAAGGAACAGAAAAAACAUGUACUCGAUCCCCAGAGUUCUUGAGUUUUAAACGAUCCAGGGCAGGGAGAUUACUUUUACCUCCGCUGGAAUUUUGGCGCAAUCAAGUGGCAAUUUAUGAUGUGGCACGUUGUAUCACUGGAAUUCAAGAUGAUGGGAGCACUGGAAAACAAUCUAGAGGGAGUACACCUGCAUCACAGAAAAGGCGAAGAUAGUUCUUGUAAGUUUCUGGAAGAGCUUUGGCAUUUACAGUUAAAUUGAGGAGCAUAAGGUUCAUACAAAUGAGGUGCUGACUAUUAAUGUUCAAUUCGGAAGUUGGACUGAAAUGUAUAGAGACAAUGGUUCUGUGCCUUUGCUUGUUACAUUGUCAAGCAGUGUGUAGGUAAUCGAAUUAUAGAUCUUAGAAUCUUGUUCUUUUUCCUUUUUCGGUGUUGUAGUAAUAUCUGGUUAAUUAGAUAUCGUGUUCAACAAUGCUGUUUAUUUGGAAUGCAUAUGCAUUCAUCGGAAGCGAAACAGCCACAAAUGGUUUAACUUUUGCAGGGGUUUAAUUUUUUGGUUAGGUAGUUUGAUAAUAUUUGGAACGUAUUGUAACAUUGAAAUUGUUGUAUUUUGUGAUGAAAAA